rnacentral:rRNA from 1 species
AAGUCGGAGGAAGGUGGGGAUGACGUCAAAUCAUCAUGCCCCUUAUGACCUGGGCUACACACGUGCUACAAUGGGCGGUACAAAGGGCUGCGAACCCGCGAGGGGGAGCGAAUCCCAAAAAGCCGCUCUCAGUUCGGAUUGCAGGCUGCAACUCGCCUGCAUGAAGCCGGAAUCGCUAGUAAUCGCGGAUCAGCAUGCCGCGGUCGAAUACGUCCCGGGCCUU